rnacentral:rRNA from 1 species
AUGAACGCUAGCGACAGGCCUAACACAUGCAAGUCGAGGGGCAGCACAAGGAGCAAUCUGAGGUGGCGACCGGCGCACGGGUGAGUAACACGUAUGCAACCUGCCUGUAAGCGGGGAAUAACCCGUUGAAAGACGGACUAAUACCGCAUAAUACUAAAUUACUGCAUGGUAAUUUAUUUAAACAUUUAUGGCUUACAGAUGGGCAUGCGCAUGAUUAGCUAGUUGGAGAGGUAACGGCUCCCCAAGGCAACGAUCAUUAGGGGUUCUGAGAGGAAGGUCCCCACACUGGUACUGAGACACGGACCAGACUCCUACGGGAGGCAGCAGUGAGGAAUAUUGGUCAAUGGGCGAGAGUCUGAACCAGCCAAGUCGCGUGCAGGAAGAAUGUCCUAUGGAUUGUAAACUGCUUUUGCAGGGGAAUAAAGUGCAUCACGUGUGAUGUUUUGUAUGUACUCUGCGAACAAGGAUACGGCUAACUCCGUGCCAGCAGCAGC